UUUCUUUUUAUCUCACUUUGUAGACAUAUCAAACCCUUAAGCCCUAAAAACUCUCACAAAUAUCGACAUGCUCCUUUCUCCAGUGAAAGCUCUUCCUCAGGCAUAGGAAUGCACAAUCUGUUGUUUGUUUCUCCUUCCUCUUUUCUUCUUUGGUAUUUUACUGUAAAUCUGUUAUUCUUCUUAGGGAUUAUGCAUUUCCAUUUUUUUUUCUUUGUAUUAUAUCAAUUUUUGAUUUCUAGUUUGAAAAAAUGAGGGUUGAGUUCUUCGUGGGUUUACUAGUUUGAAAAAACAAAAGUUAGUUUGUGGAUUUUGAUUUCGUGUUAGAAACUUUCAGAUUUUCCAGAAAGAAACUUUCAAGUUGUGGUAACCGGAACUUUAUCUUUUUCGGCUCCUUCUUUUUCUUUGUCAUAGAAGUUAAAACAGAUAAUAUUUUCCUUGUUAAUUCUUUCCUUUUUGUUAUAAUCAUCUUAGAGAACAAGUCUAGUUUAAGCUUCGUGAAUUUUGGAGGUCACCAACUUCUUAAUCUAUAGAUUUAUAAUGUAAUCUACGUAUCAGGAUAUUACUGAGAAAGAUACAUUAUGUUACCUUUUUUAGUGAGGUUCUUUUUGGAAUGAAUUUUAAUUUUGUAGAUGACAUUUAGGUGAGUUUGAUCUUUCUGUUAUUGCAGUAUUGGGUAUCUCGAGGCUCGAGAAAUAACUUUUAGGUGGGGUUUGAUAUAAAAGAUUCUGUAGAAGGUUUUUAGGGCUUUUUGCUAUAUUAUCACGGCUGAUUUGAUUUUUAGGAAUUUUGUAGAAGAUUUUAUUUAUUUUUGAUGGUUUGGCUUUCUUUUUUUAUCAAUUUUGUUUUUGUUUUCUUGAUUUUGGGCGUGUGGGAUUUUUGUAGGCUUUGUAGGAAAGUGUGGGGUUGUAUAGUUAUUUUGUAGCUUAAUCUGAUAUUUAAAAUAAGAGUUGGUAUUCUUCUGCAAUCGAUCAUUUGUGGUGUCUUUGCAAUUUGCACACAGAUUUGAAGAAUUCUAUUACACUAUUAAACAAAUCUCACUAUCUGCAACCAAUGUUAUACCAACAAAAUAAUUCAAACACAAUAAUCCGACAAGAAAAAAUAUUCGACAGUCGUAGCUCAUGAUUUUCUCAUUUGAUGUGUUUGGAAGCUUCGAGUAUGUUCACCUGUAUGUUUCUAGGUACAUGUUUGUGAAAGGUAUUUUGCUACUCAGAUCUCUCCUCUCUAGAAAAAAAAUCUAGAGAUCUGACUCUCCUAAGUCUCUGUUUGUUUUCUGGCACUUGAUCUUCCAAUAUUCAUUUUAUUCCGUACAUUUAGUAGUACUAGUCUUUAUGUAUGUGCCUUGUACGUAAAUGUUUAGUCAGUUAUUUAUAGAUAAAAGAUCAAAAAUAAAAUUUAUUAUAAAUAUAUGAAAGAACAAGGAAUUAGAUUUAUGAAAAGUUACAUACAAGAAGGAAAAAUCAUUGAAAAGCAAUUGUCUUAGUAAAACUACAACAAUCUUUUAAAUUGAAAAUCAAUCAUAUUAUCAACAUAAUAGUUGAAUUCAAAACGAAUGAACAUCGUAUUAAAAGCAUGCUUUAAAUACAAAUCAUAUCAUCAAUGUUUGUCUUUUCUGUAAAGUCUUUCGAAACUUAUUCGUGAAUUUUAUUAUAAUUUUCCUACAUUAAACAAUUAAGUCAUUUGAAGAGGAUGCGCAUUCAGUAGUCGUGUGUUAGUGAGUCAUAUUGCUUUCAAAAAAUUAUGAGUAAGUUUUGUUACACAUGCCAAAUAAUAGAUUAAGAAGUAAAUGUAUUUAUGUUAGUUUCUUCGCAGUUCUUUCAUAAUAUUUCUUUUUUGAAUCACUCGAGUUUUAAUUAAUUUGCUCUUUAUGUUUGCGGCCGAGAUAAAUAUUUGAAUCUAAUCUUGUUUGUCCGGUUAUAAUCCAAGUAGGAUUGGUAUGACAGACAUUGGAAUUUUAUGUUGUCUGAGAAGAAGUAGGCUACUAUCACAAAGACGCAAAAAGAUAAAGACCCAAACGAAUUUGACCCAAAUUCAACUUAGUAGGCUUGGCGUAUGUGUAGUUUAAAUCGAAAAAGAAUUUUAGCCUUAGGUGAUUUAUAAUUAUAUCCUUAAAUUAUACAAAUAUUUAAGGUUAUAAUAAAGUCAAUCAAUAUAUCGGAGAUAUUUUAGUCGUUCAAUAUUUAGUACAAAUUAUUCGUGCUUUUAUAAUAAUAUAGAUACUUUUGCUUUGAGUUUUUCUGCUGAUGUAACCAAAUAGCCUAUGACACAUACGUAUAAAUAUAGACGAGCAUAGAUGCCUUUUCCUUCAAUUUUCGGAAUCUAAUCUUAUUCUUGAUUGUGGUAUGUAGUUCAAUUACCAUUCUUUUCAAAAAUACAAGUAAUAGUUGUGUGAGACUUGACUGCAGAAUUAGUGCUUACGUCAAAGAGAAACUACAACAUAGUGGUGUAGCUUGUUCGAGACUUUGCACUACUAACAUAAUGGGAUGGGACCUCCCUUGCAAGGUAUAUCUUUUUCCUUAUUGUCACUUUUGCAGCUCAUUCUAUGAACUGUUACCAAUCACUAUACGAGCUUUUGAGUCUAUAUCAUGUUUCACUAUGUUUACAUCACAUAAAGUCUAAAUAUAAUCAUUUGUGCAAUAGCUAAGUAUUGAAAGAACUUUGUGCUAUUGAAACACAAGAGUUGACUAAAAUAUUUACUGAUGUCUAAACUUAUAGUACAACAGCUACCUUUUGUGGUCGUUUAAAUGCACUUUUUGAUGAAGCUGAACUUUCAAUGUAUCUACAAUUAUCUAGGUUAGUUACGAUUGAUAUGUGUGUUUGCUAUAAGCUGCCAUAUGGAAGUAGCAUUUUUAGGGGACUACACUUUGUCUGAAUGGAUUACGAGAAAUUUAAGAGAUGCAAUUUUCAAAUUAGUCCUAUUGGAAUGUGAUCAUGCUUUUCAGUAUAAAGGGGCAUCAAUAUUAGAACAUAGAUGGUGCAUUUUCCAGUACAAAAUUAGAAAAGUUUCAGCUUUAAGCAUAACUUAGUUGGAAGUCCGACAAUCUCUUCAGCUCACUGUCAUAUUCACUUCAUGUGCUGCAAAUCCUCCUCUAUAGAUUAGCUAUUUCAUUGACUUACAGUCCUAGAGAUUUUCUGUUUCCCUACUUUCAUCUAUUUUUGCUAACUGGUGAUUAUAAAAAUUUAUAUGUUAAGCUAGAAUUUUUUGAAAUAGAUGUAGAUUGUUAUUCUUGAAAUUUUUAGUCUAUAGUCCUUUUUGUAAUGAAUAAACAUAUGGUCAGUUGUCAAGCCCUUCUCAUUUCAGUAAUAUAUAUUAUAUUUAUUUCAUUGACCUUCUCAUUUCAGUAAUAUAUAUUAUUCCAGUUCAGUAAUAUGUUAUUGUCUAAAUGCUAGAAUGAUGAUGCAAUUUGCAAUCUAGGUUUGUUUUGAUUGUAUUGAAGUAUUUGGUUUACUGCUUUUGGCUUGUGUAUUGUCGCACAUGAGUAGGGUCGCACAUGAGAGGGCUCUUUGUUUAAUUAGAUUUUGGAAGUUAACCGACUUAUUCUUGACAGAACUGUUUCUUGUAGGAAUUGGAAUUUUACAAUGCCAUCCAAGAAUUUACUCUGUUAAUGUAACGACCCGACCGGUCGUUUUGAAUAUUAUAACACCGUUCCCCCAUUUACUGUUCAAUUUAUGUCUUGUAAUUGAUUUAUGACUUAUCGGGUUAGUUGGUUCGGGUCCGGAAGAAAUUCGGAAUGAAAUGAGACACUUAGUCUUAUAAUUGAAAAUUUAAGUUAGAAAAGUGGACCGGAUAUGGACCUAUGUGUAAACGACCUCGGAUUUGAAUUUUGAUGAUUUCAAUAGUUCUGUAUGGUGAUUUUGGACUUAGGAGCGUGUUCGGAAAAUUUUUUGGAGGUCCGUAGAGGAAUUAGGCUUGAAAUGCCGAAAGUUGAAUUUUUGGGAAGUUUGACCGGGGGGGUUGACUUUUUGAUAUCAGGGUCGAAAUCUGAUUCUGAAAAUNNNNNNNNNNNNNNNNNNNNNNNNNNNNNNNNNNNNNNNNNNNNNNNNNNNNNNNNNNNNNNNNNNNNNNNNNNNNNNNNNNNNNNNNNNNNNNNNNNNNNNNNNNNNNNNNNNNNNNNNNNNNNNNNNNNNNNNNNNNNNNNNNNNNNNNNNNNNNNNNNNNNNNNNAUAUUAUAGCACGCGAGUUGUCCGUGCAAUACGUGAGUCGUCCGUGCCGAUUAUGGCGCUUGAGCUAUAGGAGCUCUUCCGGAGUCUGUACACACCCCCAGUGAGCGCGGGUACCCAUUGAGUGUGAGUGCUGAGGGCUGAGAGCCGAGUGGUUGAGUUGUGGUGAUGAGUUGAGUGAUUGUUGCCUGAGAGGUUGUGCUUGCUUUGCAUUUGUUGUUGCACUUGGUUGCUAUCUGUCAUUAUUGUGAAAUUUCUGAAAGAUUUUAUAUCCGGAUUACAUAAAAUUGAACUGUAUAAAAUUGAUUUGACUUAAACUGCCGGAUUUGAAAGCAUGUCUAUUCUUUACUGGAAAUACUGAAAGUGAACUAUAACUGUGUAGCUCGUCAUUAUCUUUAGUUCCUUAGUUAUUAUUAUUACUAGCUGAGUUGGUUGUACUCAUACUACACGUUGCACUUCGUGUGCAGAUUCAGGUGUUCCCGGAUAUUGCGGGUGCUGAUCAUUUUGCGCAAUUGAUUUUCAGGAGAUUUUGAGGUAGCUGUCGUGUUCCGCAGACCUUAUCUCUCCUUCUCUAUCUCCUUGUUUACUGUAUUUGGUCUCAGACUAUUAUAGAUCGUAUUUUCCAGACUUGUACUCAGUGACACCAGAUUUUGGGGAGUGUUCAUGUCAGUAUUUGUGAGAUUUUGUAUUGUAUUAAAUUAUUGUAUUUUCAAACUUAAGAGAAAUUGUGGUUUAUCGAGAUUAUCGGCUUGUCUAGUAUCGAGAUAGGCGUCAUCACGACAAGUUGGAAUUUUGGGUCAUGACAGUUAAGUUUGAUUCAAAGUUCAUGUCUUAGAAAUGUUUCUCUUCUUUUUUUUGCAGUUUGGGUUUUAUAAGAAAGUGUGAAUUGGUUGGUUCUCUGAAUUUGCUUAUAGUUCUUACAUAUUUAUGGAGUUGCUAUGGAAGUUCGGUGGAAGUCAGUUGGUUUUUGUUGAAUAAGAGGAAUUUGUAAGUUCUCUCCAGGAAAAAUGUUUUGCAAUUAGGUCUCCAAAGAUGUUUUCCAUUUUUUUGCAGUCAUUAAUAUUAGUGAAAUAGAAGAAUAUGUGGUUUUAAAAUGUUAUUAGCAGUUUGUUUUCUAAGUAGAGUCUAACAACAUGGUAUCAAUGCCAGUAAAUUAGUAACUCUAAUUAAGUACAUUAGCUUGUAAGUCAUCUUUAAUGAUUUCAACUAUAAUCUUUAUAAGGCAUAGACACCACUAGUGACAAUUGCAACACCAAAACCAACAAAAUCACAUAAUCUGCAUAUAGGAAACCAAACAAUUUAAGGUUAACCCAGUGAAACUAUUUAACCAAACCUUUGGCCAGUUGAAAGUUUCUUCUAUGGUCAGGGCAGGCAUCUUUGAAGGCCAACCAGUUGAAGUAACAAACUUUGGGUGACAGUUUUGUCUUCCAUACUAGCUAGUUUCUAAGGCCAUAGAUCAAUCAACAUAUUGUUGGAGCACAUUUUAGCAUACCCUGCCUUCAUAGAGUAAGUUCCAUAUUAAUUAGUUGGUUGAAUGCCACGUGAUGUAGAAGAGUUUGUUGAUUGUUCAUUAUUUUUAAUUCAUGGUCUUACUUGAUUGCUGGCUUCUUCUAUGUUACAGAGUUGUAUGUGAUGAUGAAGAGUUUCAUUUGAUUGUUGCCGAAAAUUUUAAGAAUUUGGAGAGUUGAAAAUUUUUUGAGUUAUCAAAUUGGUUAUUCAAUUAUUUUGUGAUUCAAUUAUUUAAAAAAAUUUGUUUAAUUAUUUCUGAUUGUCUUUUGUAGGUGCAACGAUUGUGGAUGAAAACAGUGACGAAGACCUUACUUGAGUGUUGUUGAUCGUUGUUGGACUUUCUAUUAUCAUGUUCAAGGAUAUUUUAGUUUAGAACUUUUUGGAUGCAAACUCAUCUAUUUUGACUUUUGAAUUGUUGAUCAAACAAUGUAUUCAUAUUUUGUUAUUGUAUAUGGAUAAUGCUAGUUGGAUAUUUUAAUUUGGCCAAAUACAUCGGCAGUCCCUUU
rnacentral:lncRNA from 1 species